GUAGGUGGCAAGCGUUGUCCGGGAAUUAUUGGGGCGUAAAGCGCGCGCAGGCGGUUCUUUAAGUCUGAUGUGAAAGCCCACGGGCUCAACCGUGGAGGGUCAUUGGAAACUGGAGAACUUGAGUACAGAAGAGGAAAGCGAAAUUCCACGUGUAGCGGUGAAAUGCGUAGAGAUGUGGAGGAACACCAGUGGCGAAGGCGGCUUUCUGGUCUGUAACUGACGCUGAGGCGCGAAAGCGUGGGGAGCAAACAGGAUUAGAUACCCUGGUAGUCCACGCCGUAAACGAUGAGUGCUAAGUGUUAGGGGGUUUCCGCCCCUUAGUGCUGCAGCUAACGCAUUAAGCACUCCGCCUGGGGAGUACGGCCGCAAAGGCUG
rnacentral:rRNA from 1 species